GUCAGGAUGGCCGAGUGGUCUAAGGCGCUUUGUUCAGGUAGCAGUCUCCCCUGGAGGCCUGGUUUCAAAUCCCACUUCUGACA
rfam:Danio rerio chromosome 4, GRCz11 reference primary assembly.